rnacentral:rRNA from 1 species
CCUACGGGAGGCUGCAGUGGGGAAUAUUGGACAAUGGUGGGAACCCUGAUGCAGCGAAGCCGCGUGGGUGAAGGAGUUACUGAGUACGUUACGCCCUAUCAGCAGGAAAGCAAAUGACGGUACCUGUCUAAGAAGCCCCGGCUAACUACGUGCCAGCAGCCGCGGUAAUACGUAGGGGGCAAGCGUUAUCCGGAUUUACUGGGUGUAAAGGGAGAGUAAACGGCAGUGCAAGUCCGGAGUGAAAGCCCGGGGCUCAACCCUGGGACUGCUCUGGAAACUGUAAAGCUGGAGUGCGGGAGGGGCAGGCGGAAUGCCUGGUGUAGCGGUGAAAUGCGUAGAUAUCAGGAGGAACACCGGCGGCGAAGGCGGCCUGCUGGACCGUAACUGACGUUGAGGCUCGAAAGCGUGGGGAGCGAACAGGAUUAGAUACCCCUGUAGUC